rnacentral:rRNA from 1 species
UUCUCUGCGGAAUAGGCUCGGGAAACUGGGUUUAAUACCGCAUACGCCCUUCGGGGGAAAGAUUUAUCGGAGAAGGAUCGGCCCGCGUCUGAUUAGGUAGUUGGUGGGGUAAUGGCCUACCAAGCCUACGAUCAGUAGCUGGUUUGAGAGGAUGAUCAGCCACACUGGGACUGAGACACGGCCCAGACUCCUACGGGAGGCAGCAGUGAGGAAUCUUGGACAAUGGGGGAAACCCUGAUCCAGCCAUGCCGCGUGAGCGAUGAAGGCCUUAGGGUUGUAAAGCUCUUUCAGUCGUGAAGAUAAUGACGGUAGCGACAGAAGAAGCCCCGGCUAACUCCGUGCCAGCAGCCGCGGUAAUACGGAGGGGGCUAGCGUUGUUCGGAAUUACUGGG